rnacentral:rRNA from 1 species
UACGUAGGGGGCUAGCGUUGUCCGGAAUCAUUGGGCGUAAAGAGCGCGUAGGCGGCCAGAUAAGUCCGGUGUGAAAGUCACAGGCUCAACCUGUGAAUGCCGCUGGAAACUGUCGGGCUAGAGUGCAGAAGGGGCAACUGGAAUUCUCGGUGUAGCGGUGAAAUGCGUAGAUAUCGAGAGGAACACCUGCGGCGAAGGCGGGUUGCUGGGCUGACACUGACGCUGAGGCGCGAAAGCCAGGGGAGCGAACGGG